rnacentral:rRNA from 1 species
UCUUUAUAUUAAUUUUUUAUUCUCAAAAUUUAUCUGUAAAUAAAAAAACUAAAAAACAAUAUUAUAUUGGGGAGAUAAAAAUAUAAAAUCUAUAUAACUAUUUUUACACUAACACAAUAAUAUUUGAUUUUAAUCAAUAACAGAGCCUUCUUCAAGACUUCUAGAUUAAGUU